UGGGGAAUCUUGCACAAUGGGGGAAACCCUGAUGCAGCGACGCCGCGUGAACGAUGAAGCCCUUCGGGGUGUAAAGUUCUUUCGACAGGAACGAUAAUGACGGUACCUGGAGAAGAAGCUGCGGCUAACUACGUGCCAGCAGCCGCGGUAAUACGUAGGCAGCGAGCGUUGUUCGGAGUUACUGGGCGUAAAGAGUGCGUAGGCGGCGAGCCAAGUUUGGUGUGAAAUCUCCCGGCUUAACCGGGAGGGUGCGCCGAAAACUGGUUGGCUGGAGUAUGGGAGAGGAAAGCGGAAUUCCUGGUGUAGCGGUGAAAUGCGUAGAUAUCAGGAGGAACACCUGCGGUGUAGACAGCUUUCUGGACCAAAACUGACGCUGAGGCACGAAAGGGUGGGUAGCAAACA
rnacentral:rRNA from 1 species